GAACGCGGACAUGAGCAGUGCAACACAAUCAACUAAACCCAGUCUUUACAAUUAACUCAGGUUGGAGUUGGAGCUGUGACCGAAAGGUGGCUGGUUCGAAUCCCGGGCCGGGCGCUG